AUUAAAUUGAAGAGUUUGAUCAUGGCUCAGAUUGAACGCUGGCGGUAGGUUUUAUCCAUGCAAGUCGAGCGGUAACAGACAUUUUGAUUCAGCUUGCUGAAUCUAGUGCUGACGAGCGGCGAACUGGUGAGUAACGCGUAGGAAUCUGCCCAGUAGCGGGGGAUAGCCCGAGGAAACUCGGAUUAAUACCGCAUACGCCCUAAGGGGGAAAGGGGGCAUCUUUGAUGCUCUUACUAUUGGAGGAGCCUGCGUAAGAUUAGCUUGUUGGUAGGGUAAAGGCCUACCAAGGCGACGAUCUUUAGCUGGUCUGAGAGGACGAUCAGCCACAUUGGGACUGAGACACGGCCCAGACGUCUACGGACGGCAGCAGGAGAGAAUAUUGGACAAUGAGGGAAACCUUGAUCCAGCCAUACCGCGUGUGUGAAGAAGGCCUUAGGGUUGUAAAGCACUUUAAGCGAUGAAGAAGAAAAGUAAGUUAAUACCUUAUUUUUUUGACGUUACUCGCAGAAUAAGUACCGGCUAACUCCGUGCCAGCAGCCGCGGUAAUACGGAGGGUACAAGCGUUAAUCGGAAUUACUGGGCGUAAAGCGCGCGUAGGCGGUUAAGUAAGUUGGAUGUGAAAGCCCUGGGCUCAACCUAGGAACUGCAUUCAAAACUAUUUAACUAGAGUACGAGAGAGGAGAGUAGAAUUUCUGGUGUAGCGGUGAAAUGCGUAGAUAUCAGAAGGAAUACCAAUGGCGAAGGCAGCUCUCUGGAUCGUCACUGACGCUAAGGUGCGAAAGCGUGGGUAGCAAACAGGAUUAGAUACCCUGGUAGUCCACGCCGUAAACGAUGAGAACUAGCCGUUGGGGAGAAUUAACUCUUCAGUGGCGCAGCUAACGCAUUAAGUUCUCCGCCUGGGGACUACGGCCGCAAGGCUAAAACUCAAAUGAAUUGACGGGGGCCCGCACAAGCGGUGGAUCAUGUGGUUUAAUUCGAUGCAACGCGAAGAACCUUACCUACCCUUGAAAUCCAGCGAAGUUCCUAGAGAUAGGAAUGUGCCUUCGGGAACGCUGUGACAGGUGUUGCAUGGCUGUCGUCAGCUCGUGUCGUGAGAUGUAUGGUUAAGUCCAGUAACGAGCGCAACCCCUAUCCUUAUUUGCCAGCGCAUAAUGGCGGGAACUAUAAGGAGACUGCCGGUCAUAAACCGGAGGAAGGCGGGGACGACGUCAAGUCAUCAUGGCCCUUAUGGGUAGGGCUACACACGUGAUACAAUGGGUGGUACAGAGGGUCGCCAAAGCGCGAGCUGGAGCCAAACCCUUAAAACCAUUCUUAGUCCGGAUUGGAGUCUGCAACUCGACUCCAUGAAGUUGGAAUCGCUAGUAAUCGCGAAUCAGAAUGUCGCGGUGAAUACGUUCUCGGGCCUUGUACACACCGCCCGUCACGUCAUGGAAGUGGGUUGCACCAGAAGUGGCUUGUUUAACCUUCGGGAAAACGGUCACCACGGUGUGAUUCACAACUGGGACGAAGUCGUAACAAGGUAGCCCUAGGGGAACCUGGGGCUGGAUCACCUCCUUAAA
rnacentral:rRNA from 1 species